CCUACGGGAGGCAGCAGUGAGGAAUAUUGGUCAAUGGCCGCAGGGCUGAACCAGCCAAGUCGCGUGAGGGAUGACGGUCCUAUGGAUUGUAAACCUCUUUUGUCAGGGAGCAAAGGGCGCCACGUGUGGCGUUUUGCGAGUACCUGAAGAAAAAGCAUCGGCUAACUCCGUGCCAGCAGCCGCGGUAAUACGGAGGAUGCGAGCGUUGUCCGGAUUUACUGGGUGUAAAGGGCGUGUAGCCGGGAAGGCAAGUCAGAUGUGAAAUCCGGAGGCUCAACCUCCGAAUUGCAUUUGAAACUGUUUUUCUUGAGUACUGGAGAGGCAGACGGAAUUCCUUGUGUAGCGGUGAAAUGCGUAGAUAUAAGGAGGAACACCAGUGGCGAAGGCGGUCUGCUGGACAGCAACUGACGGUGAGGCGCGAAAGCGUGGGGAGCAAACAGGAUUAGAUACCCGGGUAGUC
rnacentral:rRNA from 1 species